AGUGAACGCUGGCGGUGGGCCUAACACAUGCAAGUCGAACGGCAGCACAGUACUAGCUUGCUCUUCCGGGUUGCGAAUGGCGGGCGUGUGAGGUAUACAUCGGAAUCUACUUUUUCGUGGGGGUUCACGUAGGGAAACUUACGCUCAUACCGCAUACGACCUACGGGUGAAAGCAGGGGAUCUUCGGACCUUGCGCGGUUGGAUGAGCCGCUGUCGGAUUAGCUAGUUGGCGGGGUAAAGGCCCACCAAGGCGACGAUCCGUAGCUGGUCUGAGAGGAUGGUCAGCGACACUGGAAGUGAGACACGGACCAGACGACUACGGGAGGGAGCAGUGGGGAAUAGGGGACAAUAGGCGCAAGCCUGAGCCAGCCAUACGGCGUGGGAGAAGAAGGCCUUGGGGGUGUAAAGCCGUGUUGUUGGGAAAGAAAAGCAGCAGGUUGAGACCCCGCGGUACUGACGGUACCCAAAGAAGAAGCACCGGCUAACUUCGUG
rnacentral:rRNA from 1 species